AUACGUAGGUGGCAAGCGUUGUCCGGAUUUACUGGGUGUAAAGGGCGCGUAGGCGGAGAUACAAGUCAGGAGUGAAAUCCAUGGGCUCAACCCAUGAACUGCUUUUGAAACUGUAUCCCUUGAGUAUCGGAGAGGCAGGCGGAAUUCCCAGUGUAGCGGUGAAAUGCGUAGAUAUUGGGAGGAACACCAGUGGCGAAGGCGGCCUGCUGGACGACAACUGACGCUGAGGCGCGAAAGCGUGGGGAGC
rnacentral:rRNA from 1 species